rnacentral:rRNA from 1 species
CCUACGGGGUGCAGCAGUGGGGAAUAUUGGACAAUGGGCGAAAGCCUGAUCCAGCCAUGCCGCGUGUGUGAAGAAGGCCUUCGGGUUGUAAAGCACUUUCAGUGGGGAAGAAAGCCUUGGGGCUAAUACCCUCGAGGAAGGACAUCACCCACAGAAGAAGCACCGGCUAACUCCGUGCCAGCAGCCGCGGUAAUACGGAGGGUGCGAGCGUUAAUCGGAAUUACGGGGCGUAAAGCGCGCGUAGGCGGUCUGAUAAGCCGGUUGUGAAAGCCCCGGGCUCAACCUGGGAACGGCAUCCGGAACUGUCAGGCUAGAGUGCAGGAGAGGAAGGUAGAAUUCCCGGUGUAGCGGUGAAAUGCGUAGAGAUCGGGAGGAAUACCAGUGGCGAAGGCGGCCUUCUGGACUGACACUGACGCUGAGGUGCGAAAGCGUGGGUAGCAAACAGGAUUAGAUACCCUAGUAGUC